rnacentral:rRNA from 1 species
CAGCAGCCGCGGGAAAACGGAGGGUGCAAGCGUUAUCCGGAUUUAUUGGGUUUAAAGGGUCCGUAGGCGGAUCUGUAAGUCAGUGGUGAAAGCCUGUCGCUUAACGAUAGAACUGCCAUUGAUACUGUAAGUCUUGAGUAUAUUUGAGGUAGCUGGAAUAAGUAGUGUAGCGGUGAAAUGCAUAGAUAUUACUUAGAACACCAAUUGCGAAGGCAGGUUACCAAGAUAUAACUGACGCUGAGGGACGAAAGCGUGGGUAGCGAACAGGAUUAGAUACCCCGGUAGUCCCUGUCUCUUAUAC